GUUCAAGAUGUCUGAUUUCAAGAUUCUUGAUCGUGUUAGCCUUGGCCUUGCUAGGCGGGUUGAUGAGGUUGUUUUUGAAGCCAUUGUGAAUGAUUCUAACAGCCCUUUGUAUAACACAAGAGUUGUGCUAGAAAACUAGAUGAAACGUAAGAUCAAUUGAGGAGUGAGUAACUUCUAUUGCUACUGGUAGUGCUUUUGGGAACCAGCA